GAAGAAGGAGAACUGCUCUAAGCAGGAAAAAAAAAAAAUUGCCUGAGAACUGGAGGCUUUAGGCCCAUCAGCCACAACUACAGACACAGCUGAGCCUGCUUCACCAUCUUCCGUAGUCCCAGGCUGUGCAAAGAGGAGGUAUAUCCAGCUAGUAUACUUUUUCCCUGGCCGAUUCAGUUGGCUAGAGCUCUUCAGGGACCACACUGCAAUUCUGGAUUUCCUGCCAGGAUUGAAUAGAAUGACAGAGAAGAAAAAAUGGUGACAGGUGGAGGAAGAAAUGAGGCCUUCAAUUCAACCUUACAAGCAAGCACUCACACAACCCUGUGUAAGAUGUCACCACCUUUGCAUAAUGUAAAGACUGCAACAAAGUGAUGGAGGUGAAACCAACACAAUAAGUCACCUCAUCAAAAAAGAAAAAAAGAGCUUCCUAUCAAAUACUCUUUUCCCUCCCACUUCAGCUGGGGAGGAACAGAAUGUUUGAAACACAUUUUCUUUAGACACCUAGCAGGAUAUAACCCAUGAUAUCUAAUAUACAUUUAAAAUAAUA
ensembl:lncRNA novel transcript